rnacentral:rRNA from 1 species
GGACUACUGGGGUAUCUAAUCCUGUUUGCUCCCCACGCUUUCGUAUCUCAGUGUCAGUACAUGUCCAGUGAGCCGCCUUCGCCGCCGGUGUUCCUCCAGAUAUCUACGUAUUUCACCACUACACCUGGAAUUCCACUCACCUCUACAGUACUCAAGCUAAACAGUAUCAGAAGCACUUCCCGGGUUAAGCCCGGGGAUUUCACAACUGACUUGUAAAGCCACCUACAUACUCUUUACGCCCAAUGAUUCCGAACAACGCUAGGAUCCCUCGUCUUACCGCGGCUGCUGGCAC